AAACUAUGUUAAUUUGCAGUGAUGAUGAGGAUAGUACAAUUCCUCUCUUGAGCACCAAUGAUGUGCCGAGACCUUUAUAAAACACUUUCCAAACAUUGAUUCCCUUAAUCCUCAUGAGUCUAGGAAGAAGUAGAGAUGAGGGAAUGCAGCUCAGAGAGGUUAGGUAACUUGUCCAAGGCCACACAGCCAGUGUGUGCUGGAGGAGGGAUGUGUAGGCUGGGUAUAGGAUCUGUGAGCCUAACCACUUGGAUAGACUACCAUACCAGGAGGAGUGCUUUGGGCCCAGGGCCUCCAAGUUCCCAUCAAAUCAGUGUGUGGUGGUCUGAAGGCUAGAUGGGGAGGUAGAGGGUAGAGGAGAGGGCCCAUCAUUAGGAGAAGGGCCAGAUGCCCUGGGCAGGGGGCAUGGAGCCAGGAGCUUUGGGAAGAACUUCCCUCUGACUUAGGGCUGCAUGUGGAGCUGAGCUCCUCACUGUGAGGAUGGUUGGGAGCAGGUGUCUGGUCAGGGGAGGGUGGUGUUGUAGGAAGAAAGUGAGAGUGGUUCUGGGGAUUUCCAGCUGCUGGCAGGGAGGCCCAGCUGGGUGGGCCCUGCUGGAAGAGUAGGGGAGAUAGACGAGGCCUGGGAGCAUUUGCUGAGUUUUCUCAGCUGUGUCCCCAGGAAAACGGGGUGAGCAACACAGCGAGGGCAGGGCCAUCAGCCUCCUGGAAAGAGGACAGGGUCAGCUUCUGUGUUGGGAGCUUACUGCCUUUGCCCAAAAGAGUCUUCCUUCUCAGAUCUGCCCUUUCAGAUCCCACCCAUCAGUCCUCCACAGCCGGGGAGCCUCCCAGGGGCCAAGAGCUGGGCAGAUGCUGAGGCCUACCAUGUGCUGGGCAGUGUUGGAUACCAAGCGAGAGGUAAAAAUUAAGAAAAGAUGUGGCUGGGGUUGAUGGAAUUCCAUGGCCGUGCCCAGGAGCUGCCCCAUGGCUUGAGCAAUGUGCUCUCCCAUGCAGGCAUCCAGGCACCUCUUACCCUUCCACCCCUGCACUGACCUUGGUGUUUGAGAGGUUGGUUUCGGGGUCCGCUUCCCCACUACCCAUUCCUCAAAGGCCACUGCCAUAAACCCAGGCCCUAGCCCCACAUCUAGCCUUCACUGCGAAUGCUCAACCGGAGAAGAACCAGUAGGAGGAGCUGCAGGCCCAGAAAGAUGCCUGGGUUGGGGGCUGGGGGUGUGUGGAGAAGAACGGUCUGGGUCUUGAAUGGCUGCGAGAGCCCAGGGAGCCUUCUAGAGUCAGGACUAUUUUCUUCUCCUCAGUGGUGUGGUCAUUGCAAAGAUUUAUCAUAAACCCACACCCUGGAGAAGGCACAGGGCCUCCUGUUGCAGGCAGAAGUGUCUUUGCAGCUGGGGAGGGGACUUCCUUCCCCUUGAAUGGAUGCUCAGGAGCUAAGGUAACCAAGGCCAAGAAGCCCUGCAAUAGACGCAGUUGAGAAUGGAGGCAGGGCUUGAACUGUUCAGGACAGGGUGAAACUGCGGGAACCUCCCCUUGCUUUGGCCACCAGGGAGGCCAUGGAGGUCACCCUCUUGCCCCUUCCCUUCAUCUCAUCCCUGGCUUGGAUCAUCGUUUUCCUCCCACCAUCCCUUAUCCAAGGUUCCCUCCAAACAGGGACAGUGCUUGCUUGUAAAAUUGGCUCAAUUCAGGCCAUGAGGGCUUAGGUGGGUUGAGGCGAGCUCUGUGCAACGGUCCUGCAACUAAAGGUCACUAUGACCUGCCACCUGCCCAAAGGGCCAAACACACCCUCCAAAUUUUCCAAGCCCAAGAUAAACUCAGCAAUGAUUUGUGUGGCCAGAAGAGGGCAGCAUAGUACACCCAAGGUCCUCCCUCCAAAGAGGACUGACCACCCUUCCUGCCCCCACCUCACCCCCAGCCCCACUCCCACACCCCACAGGCAGGCAAGUCUGAGCUUGUUCUCUGGGAAUUCGAGGCCCUGCAGGUCGGAGGGCGGGGUGGCGAGGAAAUGGGGCCCCAAAUAUAUAUUUUAAAUUGAUUGCUUUUCAGAUUUCAUAUUGGGACUUCCCUCCUUUAAAAGAAAAAAAAAAUCACAGAAACCUCCAA
rnacentral:lncRNA from 10 species